UGGACAGCCAGCCCCGCCAACCCAGUGUUCAGACUACCUGUUCAGGGGGCUCUGAAUGUGUACAGUAGUCUGCACAUUGGUUAGGCUGGGCUUGGGCCAGCA
rnacentral:pre_miRNA from 12 species